UUUUAGCCCAGAAAAAAGGGCACUUUUUUCACUUUUAAGAAAAGUGGGGGGGCACAUGCCCCCAUUGCCCCCCCGGUUCCGCGGCCCCUGAACAAGUACAAUAUAUCAAUAUUGGUCAAGAUGUGACCGUCUUACACCUUUUAAAAAUUUUGUAAAGCUUGUUGAACUUUUAAAGCUCUCAUCAAUUGAAUUCCAUAUUUUGGGACCUGGAACCUAAAUUUAAAAAUGGCCAGGGUCAAACGUCGAACUUUUCAUGUGCCGAACAUUACUAAUGUUAAUGAGCCAAGUUCUUUGUUUCACUCCAUUUGCAUUAGGUCCGUGGCCUAAUUUUUUCUGGCCUUAGGAACAUAAUAUGACUCUUUUUUUAUGCUAGUCUUGUGUUAUAACUAUGAAUUGUUUGUUAUGCUAUCAAAACAGUUUUGAAGUACCGAUGGCAAAAGCUGAUGGUAAUAUAUUCAUACAUGAAAAGUGCAAAAUUCUGAGAUACCAAAUCAUGAAUUUUAAGCAUGUUGAGAGUUUUAAAUAUCGGACUUGAGUGCUCGAUCGUCUGAUUUUGAAAAAGUU